UAAUUCACAUAGUAUAAUAAAAAUGCAAAGGUAGUAAUUAACAUUCAUGACCAAAUAAAAAGAUAGGUAACUCAGUCCACCCCAAAAAUCUGUUUAACUACCAAGAAAGGCUAAAACAUAUUAAUCCCUCAGAUUAGACCCUCCCUGUUUAACAUCAUUAUUAAGCAGUGAUUCCUUUAUUUAAAAGUGUAGUGGUCAUGCUGCUACAUCCCUUCUUUUCCCAAAGCAAAGAUCAUGUGCCUGCAUCAGACAAUGCAAGAGUGAGAUGACACAUCUCACCAAGUAAAAAGAGCAAACAACAACUGGACAAUGUAAACAAACCGUGCUUAAACAACCACGUAGUUCACAACUUCCUUCUUGAAUAUUAAUUUGCAGCAAGUAAGCAUGUAACCAAUUACUUAGUUACAAGAUGAAGUACAAGGUAAAGAUCUACACUAUCCACAUCCACAUAAUAGGUUCCACACUUCACCCCUGAAUGCACAUGGCUACAGAUACAGUAAUGACUUCUGCCUUCAUACCUCUAAAGAUAUGAAGCUGCAUCAUACCGCUUCUCGGGCAACAUAUGAUGCUCAUUGUAGUGGUACGGUCGGAUCACAAGAUCGCGACGAAACUUCCAUGCAAUGGAUGAUGAAUGCAUUAUGCAUGUCAACAACAUGAGUCCUUCCCAAAUAAAAUGUGCUAGACAUAUACUUCCACCCAUUCCACAUAAUAAACCACAUGGGUAACAUGAUCAAACCACAACCUCAACAUAUGUAAUCAAUAAAACAUGAAUAUCUUCAAAUGAUGGUACCCAAUUAGGAAUAUGAAUACGAACACAAAUGACACAAACAUAAUCAAGUAUAAGACCCUUUUAUCGACAGACGGAAUAACCAUCACUGUUUUACUUGCCUUCACCGGAAGAUUGGGCAAAUCCCUAAGUACGAUCCGAAAAUCUACCACCUGCUUUUGACACACAACUUAGUGCACCAAUUUCACAUAAUAACGCUCACAAACGACACCGCACCUACGCACAAUCUCAAACCCCGCCGCGGGUAACAACUCUCCCCAUACCCACCAAACUGCAGCGGCGCUGCUUAACAAUUUCAUAACUUUAAAAUUAUGACUGCAGUGGUAACAAACAAAAACUCCAGAGGCAUCUACAUAAAAUUCCCCACAAGUUUUGUAUACAAUUUAUAAUUAAAUUCCAACAUAUAAUAGCCCAAAACAGUCCACAAGAUCAACCCUGCAAUCUGUUUUUUUUUCUUUUGGACAGCGACAUACCCGGAUUCAAACAGCGAUAUAUUUUAAAAUAUAAUUCCGAAUCGAGCGCAUAAGUACCCGUUGGAAAGGUAUGACAAAGGUCUACAUGAUUCUCAUAUUGAUUACCACUAAUUUUCUACGAAAAAUCCCCAGAAACUGCUACUACUACUGCUGUUCGCCCACCUGCAGAAAUCUGUUUUUUUGGACAGCAACAUACUCAGAUUCAAACAGCGAUAUCUUUUAAAAUAUAAUUCCGAAUCGAGCGCAUAAGUACCCAUUGGAAAGGUAUGACAAAGCUCUACAUGAUUCUCCCACUGAUCCCCACUAAUUUCCCACGAACAAUUCACAGAAAUCCCUAAAACUACUGCUAUUCGCCCACCUACAAAAUUUCUGGACAGCACCUAUACCGAUUCGCAUAGAUAAACAUAUAAUCAAUUGGAUUGCAGCACAAUUAAACAAGAUACAAACACAAAAAUCACCUUGAAUCCUCCCCCUUUCCUCCCUUCUUCUUCCCUCCACCAAAAACCACUGGGAGAAUUGCACUAACGCGACGUAGAUCCGAUCGGGAAAGGAAUGGCACCUUGGAGAGAAGGGCUUGAGGAGGGGCGGCUAGGGUUUGAUGGGGGGAAGGUGGGUGACGGCUGCAAAUGGGUGGAGUGAGAUGGGGUGGCGCCCAAGGCUAGAGAGAGGGGAUUAGGGGAGGGCGGCUAGGGUUAAGGGGAGGCUAAUGGGCCGGAUCGAGAUUCAUGGCCCAACUCGCCCACGCGACAGCUCCCGACCCCGUUGCAAGCGUCUAACCAAAGAAAUUCUACUGUCUUACUGGUGAAUGUUUUCCACAAAUUUCAAAUCCCCAAAGCGCAUCACCUAAAUGAGAAAAAAAACAAAAAAAAAGAAU
rnacentral:lncRNA from 1 species